rnacentral:rRNA from 1 species
GUAGGGUGCGAGCGUUAAUCGGAAUUACUGGGCGUAAAGCGUGCGCAGGCGGUUCGCUAAGUCUGAUGUGAAAGCCCCGGGCUCAACCUGGGAACUGCAUUGGAAACUGGCGAGCUUGAGUGUGGCAGAGGGGGGUGGAAUUCCACGUGUAGCAGUGAAAUGCGUAGAGAUGUGGAGGAACACCGAUGGCGAAGGCAGCCCCCUGGGCUAACACUGACGCUCAGGCACGAAAGCGUGGGGAGCAAACAGGAUUAGAUACCCUGGUAGUCCACGCCCUAAACUAUGUCAACUGGGUGUUGGGGAAGCGAUUCCUCAGUACCGUAGCUAACGCGUGAAGUUGACCGCCUGGGGAGUACGGCCGCAAGGUUA